rnacentral:lncRNA from 1 species
GUUUGUUGUCGCGAGAUGUAGUCGGGUCACUCCUCUGAAAGUUGCAAAUGCUGUUUUCAGGACACAGACCCCGGGGGGAGGGGAGGGACCGGCGAAUCACCGUGACAAGUCUUUGUUUACCCCCAUAUGGAUUCUGAAAAACAUUUAUUGAGGUGUCCAGGCGUGGUGUUUGUCCUUUUUUUUCCAGCUCUUCAUCCAAGACCUCACCUGUCCUGCCAGCAGUCAAUCCUGGACACCUGUCGCCAAUCAUCCCAUCAGCCGAUCAUCCAAUCAACCUCCAGUCCUGCCCCUAUAUAUUGCUUUGCACCCUGUGUUUCUGGCGGUCUGUCUGUCUGUGUGAGAGGGAGAGCAUUUUGACACUUUGACUAAAGUUUGUGACCUUUUGGUUUUUGCCCUCCUUAACCAAACUAGUGUUUGAGGGCCUAUUUUUGUUAAAACCUACCCGUCCCCACCUAGUGUGUUUUGCAGUCAACCCCAUUCUCUGUAUUGUCUUCUUCCUUGGAGAAGGGCUCCAGGUAAGACACCCCGGGGUCUACAUUCAGCGCGUAGGUGACUUUGUUUAUACACACUAGGUAAGUGUGGGCGGCUGCCACGAUCUUCUGUAGCAGGCAGGUAAGGUUCAGGCUUAGUUAGUUAGGGCUAGUCACUGGUUAAGAUAGUUAAGGUCACAGGGUCGAGGUGUAGGGGAAGUUUAGGGUUUUUGUGGUUAGUGGCACCGCCCACAGGGCCCUUCUCCUAACGUCCUCCUGCCCUCCAUUAGCUCUCCCCAUUUUUGUUUCUACCAGCCUUUUGUUUUACGCCUGCUGACUGUGUUCUGGCAUCUUUUUUGUAAAUUGUAAAAUUUGUAACACUGCUUCUGUUUAAUUAUAUCCUUUGUUAUAUAAAUUCCCUUUUUCCUAUGGAAAAGGCCACCAAGUUCUUUUGUGUUGUGUACCUGGUUUUGCCCGCUCACCACCUGACGCUAUUUACAUCUGCCCAGUAGGCCUGCGCAUAAGUGUUGCGUUUUCCCCCCUCACUCCUAGUUUGGCCAUUUUUAACAACUUCAAGGGGGGACGUAACAUAGUGGGGGCUCGUCCGGGAAAACCUUAUUGUGUCCGGAGGCUUGUGUGUGGGUGUACUGUUGUGGACUGGUUCUGGUGGUGUGGCAGCCUUGUGUUUGGUUGGUAUGGUGGAGUCCAAUGUGCAACUGUUUAUUGAUACCCCAGCAGUAGAGCUGUUGGAUAGAUGCCGUGUACAGAUUUACAGGCCAUUGCAGAGCACUUUUCUAUUCAACUGCCUAAGGGCUUGCUGAAGGCUGAGUUGACGCAGCAUGUCAAGCAAGAGUUGGUGAAAGCUGGUGUGCUUGUGGUGGUGCCUGAGGUGGUGUCUUCUACUCCUUUCCCUGGGGUGGAGGAAAUCUCCCCUAGUG